rnacentral:rRNA from 1 species
AACGAACGCUGGCGGCAUGCCUAACACAUGCAAGUCGAACGGUGCCUUCGGGCACAGUGGCGCACGGGUGAGUAACACGUGGGAACCUGCCUUUCGGUUCGGAAUAACGUUUGGAAACGAACGCUAACACCGGAUACGCCCUUCGGGGGAAAGUUUACGCCGAGAGAGGGGCCCGCGUCGGAUUAGGUAGGUGGUGAGGUAACGGCUCACCAAGCCGACGAUCCGUAGCUGGUCUGAGAGGAUGAUCAGCCACACUGGGACUGAGACACGGCCCAGACUCCUACGGGAGGCAGCAGUGGGGAAUAUUGGACAAUGGGCGCAAGCCUGAUCCAGCAAUGCCGCGUGAGUGAUGAAGGCCUUAGGGUUGUAAAGCUCUUUCGCACGCGACGAUGAUGACGGUAGCGUGAGAAGAAGCCCCGGCUAACUUCGUGCCAGCCGCCGCUGUAA